AUUGAACGCUGGCGGCAGGCUUAACACAUGCAAGUCGAGCGGGGUGAUGGUGCUUGCACUAUCACUUAGCGGCGGACGGGUGAGUAAUGCUUAGGAAUCUGCCUAUUAGUGGGGGACAACAUCUCGAAAGGGAUGCUAAUACCGCAUACGUCCUACGGGAGAAAGCAGGGGAUCACUUGUGACCUUGCGCUAAUAGAUGAGCCUAAGUCGGAUUAGCUAGUUGGUGGGGUAAAGGCCUACCAAGGCGACGAUCUGUAGCGGGUCUGAGAGGAUGGUCCGCCACGCUGGGACUGAGACACGGCCCAGACUCCUACGGGAGGCAGCAGUGGGGAAUAUUGGACAAUGGGGGGAACCCUGAUCCAGCCAUGCCGCGUGUGGGAAGAAGGCCUUAUGGUUGUAAAGCACUUUAAGCGAGGAGGGGGCUCUUUUGGUUAAUACCCAAGAUGAGUGGACGUUACUCGCAGAAUAAGCACCGGCUAACUCUGUGCCAGCAGCCGCAGUAA
rnacentral:rRNA from 1 species